UGUGCUAGGUGGGGAGUUAGCGGUGCCCUGUAUCUGCAAUCCGCUCUAGCAGAACUGAAUGCCUUCCUAGGUGUUAUGCAUGUAAGGUUUGCCUUUAGCAAGUGAUGUUGAUACUAAGGUCUUGUGCAAUUAAACGCUGUGAACCAUGUCAGGGCUUGAUCGCAGCAGCAUUAAGCAGAUUGUUUGAUGUGCCACGAGGUAGCUUUAGCGGAGUCAACUACUACUGUACCACUUGGGUAUUUAAUAUCGAAGAAGGAUGCA
rnacentral:SRP_RNA from 1 species